GCGAUCCCCAGGUCAGGCGGGACUACCCG
rnacentral:rRNA from 1 species